GGCCAUCCUAUUCCCGAACACUUCGGGUUCGCAUGCGAGCUUGAGGUAUCUUCGGUAUAUCGACAAUCUCGCUGAGAUAGGAUGUUAUAGUUGGGGCGCUACUGUGUUGGGCUACAUGUAUCGAGGAUUCUGCCGAUGUUCUAUGGGCACGAGGGUAGAGGUCCCUGCAUUUUGCUCGCUCCUUUAGAUUUGGGUGUGGACUAGGUUGAGACCUUUUCAGCCCAUACCAGCUGACCCUCCCGCUGACUAUCUUACUGUCCCGAUGCCAUACGCGCGGAGAUGGUCGCGAGGCGUACGCCGACGUGUGGAGACGCACCACAGCCUUCUCCCGUUUAGGGAUCAGCUAGACCGCAUGACGGCGCAGACGGCUUUUAUAUGGACGCCGUAUGAUCAUAUUUUGGAUGAGCUGCCGGCGUUUUGUAGGGCUGGUCAGCACAUGUGGAUGUCGCGGUGUCCAUUGAUACAUAUGAAUAUCGUUGAGUAUC